UUUUCUUAUAUGUCUUUUGGAGUACAUUAAUUUUUUAUAUUUCUCUAAAACUUCUAAAGUCUUUGUAUGUCAAAUUUGAUACAAUUCAGCAUUUGAUAAGGGAGUUUUGCUAGGGUUUCUUCCCAUUUUUUGCAAAAGUAUAAAUUUUAUGAACAAAUCUUUUUUAGCUAACCUGAGCUGAAAGCUAAAGUGAGCUUUUCUGAUCACAUUUUGUCUGUAGUCCAUCUGUCUGUCCAUUCAUCCGUCCAUCUGUAAACUUUUCACAUUAUUGACUUCUUCUCCAGAUCCACUGCGCCAAUUUUAACCAAACUUGCCACAGAGCAUCCUUGGGUGAAGGGGAUUCAAGUUUGUUCAAAUGAAGGGCCACACCCUCAUUGAAGGGGAGAUAAUUCAGACAUGGUGAAAAUUUGGUGGCAUGUUUUAAAAAUCUUCCCAAGAACCACUGGGCCAAAAAAGUUGAAACUUAUAGGAAUUACUUGGGUAGAUUUAAUUUUAUUCAAAUGAUGGCCUGUGGGGGUAGGUUGGGACCAAAAUGGGGGAUCAAAGUUUUGCAUAGGAAUAUAUAGAAAAAAAAACUUCAAAAAUCUUCUUCUCAAGAACAGCAAAUCCAUGAUGAGUCAAAUUGAUAUGGAAACAUCUUCAGGUAGUGUAGAUUCAAGUUUGUUCAAAUGAUGACCCCUUGGGGUAGGGGUGGGGUCACAAUGGAGGAUCAAAGUUUUACAUAAGAAUAUAUAGGAAAAAAUCUUUAAAAAUCUUCUACUGAAGAACUGCAAAGUCAUUUGUUAUAUUGAUAUGGAAGCAUUCUCAGGUAGUUUAAAAUUCCACCCCCCCCCCCCCCCCCUGUAAACUUUUCAAUACUGAACUGAUUUGUGCUUUUUCCUAGCCGUUGUGCUCAGGUGAGCGAAGUAGCCCAUGGGCCUCUUGUUUUUCAAAAGAGAUUGACCCAGAUAUAUAAUACUGGGAUAAAUAAAAUAGGUACUCCUCAACCUUUUUAUAUAAAAAACCACACAGAAAUACAAAGACAUAGUCAAACUUAUGAAAGAGUAACGUUUCUUCUAUUAUGUAUGUUAACAUUAAUUUUCUUGAAUUACGAUGCCUGACCCUUUCUAAAUGGGACUUUGUUGUGGUUAUUAUUAAAUCAAUGCUGAUUUUGAAGUUUAGACAAUAUAGUAUAUGUGGAUUAGAACAAAAGUCUGUUUAUAUAAUAAAGAUCUCUAAUGAGAAUCAAAUAAGAAAUGAAAGAAGGCAUGAAUAUUUUAUAGGAAUAUAGAAAAACAUUCAUAGCAUUUUUUUCAUGAACAUUAGUCAUGAAUUGUAACAUAUUUCACCAUUACCUUUAACCCCAUUAUUGUAAGCUUGAAGAUGGAAGGAAUGUGAAGUUGAGGUAACUCAGGUGAGCAUUAAGGACCAUAGGCUUAGUGCUUUCUAAAAUAUUUUGUCAUAUCUAGUCAUUUUAUUUGUACCGAUUAAUAAAUGAAAGUUUAUUUUUGUUAAUGUUUAAGAAUUGAAAUGUUAGGGGAGAAAACAUGACGUUGAUUUAUUAGAACAAAAGUAGAAACCAAUGAACAAAAAAGUAACUGUAUGCGUAAUCAAGGAGAGAUAUAAUCCACAUAAUUUUGAGGUUUGAAAAAAUUGAAAUUGUUUGUUUUUUGCAUAAAAGAUCACUGUUUUCAAUAAUCAAUUGAUAAAUAUGUUCCUUGGAGAUGAAUGGGAUAGAAAAUACCUAAAUUGUACUAUUAAUUCCAUCUCUAAUAUUGAUGUAGUUAUGUUAAUUAAAAAUGAUAUUAGAAAUAUUUGAAGAAUGUAAAUUAAGAUAACUACGGUAUUCCUAUAGUAAUUUGUUCUCAAAUGAGGAAAAAAAUCUUAUGUUUUUCAUAACUCUUGUUAUAUAUUUUUGAUAUAUUUAUUUCAUAUAUGUGUGGAAUUUUUGCGAUUUGUGCUGUUACUAAAGAGUGUUCUAUUUGGAUUUGUCAUUGGAUGUGGACUCGAGUCGUCAUUCAUGUUAUAUGUGCUCUCCAUGAAAUCCCACCAGAAACAAAAGUCCUUCAGGAUUCCAGGGAUUCAUUUGCCAGUAACUUUCACAAUUGUAAAACUGGAUAAAAAUUAUAAAUUUUCUGCUGUGAUUCAAUGUUAAAGAAGAGUGUAAUAAUAUAUUUAUUAGAAUUCUUUUUAAAGGAUGAAUGAGUUAUAUUUUUUGACACUGUGUAUUGUUUGCUAUAAACUGCCUUAGAGUAUUGUCAGUCAUAUAAAUUUUUUCUGCACAAUUGUUACCAUGUACCAAGUUUUGAUGCUGUAUAUUUAAGUUUUUGAAUCUCAUGCUUUUGAUCAUUCCAAAUUCCCUAGCUUAUAUGUAUCACAUAUGGAUUGUUCUUGGAGUUUUUUGCUGAUUUAUUGAAGAUAGAUUUGUACCUAGUAUAUGAUGUAUAUCAAUUUUAAUGAAUUUAGAGACAGGUUGCUAAAUACAAUGUUAUUAACUUACUGCUGAGCAGUUAAUUGAUCUGAUGUAUCUAGCAAAGUCAUGUCAAUUCAUUGGAGGAUGUUUCCCCCUUCUCAACAGAAUCAGUUUGUGAGGAUAUGAUUCUUUGGAUAAAGAAUUAGUACUAUUUGUUUUAAAGAAUACUUUUGAUGACUUUUUUUAAAACAAAAAAUUUCACUGAAAUAUACAACAAAAUAAUCAUAUUCAGUGUCAGAUUUCUAAAACGAAAUUUGGAGUCUCUUUUUACAUGUCUGUUUUAAUAUAAAGCUUUAUCUUUUGUGCGGUCGGUUUAAAAUUGCCAUUGACAUACAGCCCGUCUUGGUAUAUUUUUUAUAGCAGAGAAGCAUUGGAACAUUUUUAGAUGGGACAAUAGUGUUUCGCAAACAAAUCCCCUUUUUAUGCAUGUAUACAGUUAAGUACAUCAUUAUCCGUACUAUGUAUCUCUCAUUGUCAUUUUAAAAAUUUUAGGAUUUUUUGAUGUAAGUUUUCAUGCUGUUAAGGAUAUGGAAGUUAAUACACUAAUAUUUGUGGUCAUAAUUAAAGUAAGAGCAUUGAGCUUUGUUAAUCACAAAAUAAAAGGGUUGUUGUUUUGUUAAGAAUGCAGUUUAUUUUAUUUAGUGGAAGGUAGCGAAUUCUGAAAUAUUUUUUUGCUCCAAUUAAAAUAUCAGGAAUAAAAUUAACCUUUGAAAUGAA